GCACCUACCGAAGACUAUCAAACUCCGAAUGCCGUCAUCUUAUACUUGGGAGUCAGACUGUGGGUGAUAAGAUUCAUAGUCGAAAGGGCAACAGCCCAGAUCGUCAGCUAAGGUCCCUAAAUGUAAGUUAAGUGGUAAAGGAUGUGGGAUUGCACAGACAACCAGGAUGUUGGCUUAGAAGCAGCCACUCAUUCAAAGAGUGCGUAAUAGCUCACUGGUCGAGUGAUCCUGCGCCGAAGAUUUCCGGGGCUAAAACUUACUACCGAAGCUACGGCAUCAGUAAUGAUGGGUAGGGGAGCUUCCCAUACGGGUUGAAGCAUGACCGUAAGGACAUGUGGACAGUAUGGGAGUGAGAAUGUUGGCAUGAGUAGCGAGAUGUGGGUGAGAAUCCCACAGGCCGUAAACCCAAGGUUUCCAGGGGAAGGUUCGUCCGCCCUGGGUUAGUCGGGACCUAAGCUGAGGCCGAAAGGCGUAGGUGAUGGACAACAGGUUGAUAUUCCUGUACUACCGAUAACCGUUUGAGAGAAGGGAUGACACAGUAGGAUAAGCUAAGCACACUGUUGGUUAUGUGUGCCCAAGCAUUGAGGCAGUCAAAGUAGGCAAAUCCGCUUUGAUAAUGCUGGGAUGUGAUGGGGAGCGAAAUUUAGUAGCGAAGUAGCUGAUUUCACACUGUCAAGAAAAGUCUCUAUCGAGGUUAAAGGUACCCGUACCGCAAACCGACACAGGUGGGUGAGGAGAGUAUCCUAAGGCCAGCGAGAGAACUGUUGUUAAGGAACUCGGCAAAAUGACCCCGUAACUUAGGGAUAAGGGGUGCCACCAUCAGGUGGCCGCAGAGAAUAGGCCCAAGCGACUGUUUACCAAAAACAUAGGUUUCUGCUAAGUCGCAAGACGAUGUAUAGGAGCUGACGCCUGCCCGGUGCUGGAAGGUUAAGGGGAUCUGUUAGAGCAAUCGAAGCAGUGAACUUAAGCCCCAGUAAACGGCGGCCGUAACUAUAACGGUCCUAAGGUAGCGAAAUUCCUUGUCGGGUAAGUUCCGACCCGCACGAAAGGCGUAACGAUUUGGGCACUGUCUCAACAACAGACUCGGUGAAAUUGUAAUUCCGGUGAAGAUGCCGGAUACCUGCGACAGGACGGAAAGACCCCAUGGAGCUU
rnacentral:rRNA from 1 species